UAUGUAGGGUCCGAGCGUUGUCCGGAAUUAUUGGGCGUAAAGAGCUCGUAGGCGGUUUGUCGCGUCUGCUGUGAAAUCCCGAGGCUCAACCUCGGGUCUGCAGUGGGUACGGGCAGACUGGAGUGCGGUAGGGGAGAAUGGAAUUCCUGGUGUAGCGGUGGAAUGCGCAGAUAUCAGGAGGAACACCGAUGGCGAAGGCAGUUCUCUGGGCCGUAACUGACGCUGAGGAGCGAAAGCGUGGGGAGCGAACAGG
rnacentral:rRNA from 1 species